GCUGGUGUAGCUCAGUUGGUAGAGCAGCUGAUUCGUAAUCAGCAGGUCACGUGUUCGACUCACGCCAUCAGCUCCA
rnacentral:tRNA from 1 species